AGAGACAGCAGUCGCCGCGGGAAUACGAAGGGGGCUAGCGUUGUUCGGAAUUACUGGGCGUAAAGCGCACGUAGGCGGACAUUUAAGUCAGGGGUGAAAUCCCGGGGCUCAACCCCGGAACUGCCUUUGAUACUGGGUGUCUAGAGUAUGGAAGAGGUGAGUGGAAUUCCGAGUGUAGAGGUGAAAUUCGUAGAUAUUCGGAGGAACACCAGUGGCGAAGGCGGCUCACUGGUCCAUUACUGACGCUGAGGUGCGAAAGCGUGGGGAGCAAACAGGAUUAGAUACCCGCGUAGUCCCUGUCUCUUAUAC
rnacentral:rRNA from 1 species